UUUUUUUUUUUGUUACAUUCUUCCCUUCCUAAGAAAAAUUCGUCAUCGAAUUUUCAAAUAAACAAGGGAUAAGGAAAGAUGGCUAUUGGGAUAGGUGCGAGCAUUUACUUCUUCAGCUAAGCAAAGAUGGUUAAAAUGCUUUAUUCGCCAAACUCUUCGUGCAAUAUAGAUCACAUUCCCUCGCUCUUGGUUUUUUUUUUUUUUUUUU
rnacentral:misc_RNA from 1 species